AGCGCUAACCCCGCCCUUCGGCUGCGCAUGCGCGUCACGGUGCUCGGCGCUGCGGAGCCGGAACGGAAUGGCUGCGUUGGAGGCGUGCUUUGGGACUUCAACCCGUGGGAAUCAGGACCCUGAAAAACAGCAGAGGAGAUUAGCCGCAGAAUGGAAACGCGAGCACGACCCAUACAAUGUUGAAGUUCAAACACUACUGAUUUACAUCAUUUUAACAAUAAAAAAUGUCUGUAUCCACAUAACAGAAGUUUCAUUCUAAAUUACAAAUAACAGAAACAGAUCCUGUAAGUCUAACCAAAAAAGGUUUCUCUGACAGUAGGCCUAAACCACUUGGUUUUACCCCACUAAUAAUGAAUAAAUGUCUUCUGACACUUCUUGUCA